rnacentral:piRNA from 1 species
GCUGGUCUACAGAAUGGUGUAUAUUGGACAA